AUUGAACGCUGGCGGCAUGCUUUACACAUGCAAGUCGAACGGUAACAGCACUUCUGUGGCUGACGCGUGGCGAACGGGUGAGUAAUACAUCGGAACGUGCCUAGUAGUGGGGAUAACUACUCGAACGAGUAGCUAAUACCGCAUGCGAUCUAAGGCUGAAAGCAGGGGACCUUCGGGCCUUGCGCUACUAGAGCUGCUGAUGGCUGAGUAGGUAGUUGGUGGGAUAAAAGCUUACCAAGCCGACGAUCUGUAGCUGGUCUGAGAGGACGACCAGCCACACUGGGACUGAGACACGGCCCAGACUCCGACGGGAGGCAGCAGUGGGGAAGGUUGGACAAUGGGCGCAAGCCUGAUCCAGCAAUGCCGCGUGCAGGAAGAAGGCCUGCGGGUUGUAAACUGCUUUUGUACGGAACGAAAAGCCCUCUUCUAAUACAGGAGGGUCAUGACGGUACCGUAAGAAUAAGCACCGGCUAACUACGU
rnacentral:rRNA from 1 species